rnacentral:lncRNA from 1 species
CCGCGGGCUCAUGCAGGCCAGGCUGCCGAAGCUCACGUAGAGCACCGACGCCGGCGGCCACGCGUCUAGCCACUCCAGGCAGCUCCGGUCCUGGCGCAGCAGGCUGCUUUCGCCGGCGGGGGAGAACUUGUGCAGCGGGCCGAUGUCGAACACCGGCACGGCGAGGUCCUGCCGGAGGCCCUCCAGCUCGCGGCGCUCGAGCGCGUCGAACGUGUUGAGUAUGAGGCCCGACGAGCCCUUCACCGCCGCCACGGCGCGCGCCAUCAUCUCGCACAGCACCUCGUGGCCGUCCUUGCCGAUGUCCAUCAGGUCGCGCACUCGGUACGGUGGCAGCUCCACCACCGGCGUGUCGAGCUGUGAAUCUGCAGGGACGAAACACGAGCACGUUGAUCCAUGGAUCACGUGGGCAUGAACUUGGUAGGCUACAAACAAGUACUUGAAGAGGAGGGCGUGCCUUGCACGGGGAGGUAGCCUUUCUCGCAUAGCAUCGGGUAGGCGGUGAAGCACGCGAAGGAGACCGCGCUGCUGGUGCGCAGCGCCAGCGUGGGUACGCCGAGGCAAUUGGCCGCCUGGAAAAUCGGCAGCAGGUGCGCAUCGGCGACGAGGCACGCGACGGCGUCCCUGGAGUACUCCUCCAGGACGGCGGCGAGGAGGUCCCGGAAGGCGGCCUCGCACGCGCCACCGAUCGAGACGAUAUGCGCUACGACGUCCUCGAUGGCGACCGGGUCGGGGCCGGACACGACGUCGGGGACGGGGACGAAGCGGUAGUGCGGGUGGCGCGCCGGGUCCGGGGCGUUGAAGUGGGUGUGGAAGACGGUUACGGCGAAGCCGCGCGCGUGGAGGACGCCGGCGAGCCGGAACAUGGGGUUGAUGUGGCCCUGGUACGGGAGCGGGAACAGGAGCACGUGCCGGUGGCGCCCACCGUGGUUGGCGUUGCUCUCUGCGGCCAUGGUUGGCGCCGGUGGUGGCGUCAUCGCUUUGCUGAGUGUGAGCUGUGCCGUGUGAACUGUGAAGGCAAGUAUGGGGGAGAAACGGUAGCCAGUAGGAGGAGAGUACACUGGUACGGGCAGGGCGAGAUCAGCGGGACCCAGCAACAACCUACGGCCAGUUUGUCCUUGACGGCCAGUGAACGCUGCUGCUCUGUUCUCUGCUCGUACAACCUACGGGGUUGUCAGUGGUUGUGUUUGCAACCAAUAUUUUUUUUUAAACUUAUUUGCAACAACAUAUAAUGUUAGUUUUAAUCCAUAGUAAACAUGCUUGGCUAUAUUAUAUACUACAAUAUCGGAUAUACAUCGUAAUUCAAUGUUGGUUCCUUCUUGCUCAGUCAACCGGGGGAAAGUGGGUGGAAAAACCCUUUUGCAUACAAAAUACCAUAGGAGGGGAUUAAAACUUGUGGUAAUGCACAUAUGGGUAUUUUGGUCUUUUCCUAUCAAAUUUAACACGGUAGUGACAUAGAAGGUAUAAAACUUGGAGGUGGUGUCAAAUAAGGAACAUUAAAAUUUUAGAUGUCAUGUAGGGAAUUGGUCUAUCUUCUAAUAUCUUAAGUCUGAGUAAGACACCCCUUCUAAUAACUCAAAAAACGAGAGAGUAUUUUUGUUGCGACGUGAAACACGCAGGCUGAUUCUGACGGAUAUCGUUCGGUCGUGGGCUGAUCGAGUUGCCUCUUGUGUCUUUUUUUUUCUUUCUUUUUUUGCGAGCGAGCGCGUGUGUGUUUUGAAGAACUUUUUGCGCGUGUGUUGGGUUACCAAACGAGCUGCCUGCCGGUGCCGUCACCCAUCGGGGCAUGCCGACCAUGACGCGAUCGGCAGGCGUAUCACUAUUCUAUUUCGCGGAACGGCAGAUGAUUCCAUGAAGGAUAAGAACAUGAUCUCGAUUCCCGAUCACCUGUCGGGCUGUCACUCCACGGAUCAUGUGCCUGCGCGGAUGCGCCUGUGUCUCGUGCUGACUUUGUUUUGUCGCCCCCUCCUGACAGCGCAUCUUUGCCAUUGUUUAAGUGUAAUCUUCCAAACAUACCGAUUAGCCAUGGCCGGCAAGGAAAUAUCUUAACAAUUUAGUAAGAUGUUUAAAAAAGAUAAAUUCUUCCAUUUUAAAAUGCCUUAAGUCCGGAAUUUGCACCGCCAGGGACUGAGGUGUCCCCAUAACACACCAACCACAAAUUAUAAAUUGUAGGUUCCAAAAUAAUAUGAAAACUUGAAAAGUAGAGCCUACUUAGUCGAGCCACAUACUCCAUCCGUUCUAAAUUGUAAGUCGUUUUGAUCUUUUUAGAUUCGUAGAUAUUAUUAUGCAUCUAGACAUACGCUAUAUUUAAAUGCAUAGCAAACUAUGCACCUAUAAAAUUAAAACAACCUGCAAUUUGGAAUGGAGGGAGUAUUUUAGUUUUAGAUGAUUGUGUGCUGAUGAACUUGUCAUUCAUCCGACUGUCGAGUUAUACUCGUUGCGCAACAUAUUUUGAAGAAAUUAAAUCAUUUUUUUCAGAAAUUCGACUAGAGAUGACUUCUAUACUAAAAUUUCAGUUUUUGAAUGGGAUGAUUGUUUUUAAAUUUUGUGACUGAUGGUUUUAAAUUUCUUGCGUUUGGUGACAUUUGAAUGCCGAAAUCCAUGAUUCGGAACAAAUAAAAUCUGACUGACAGACUGACAACACACCAAGCUAAGUUUCAAGUAAAUUUCACACUCAGGCCUUGUUUAGUUGCCCGAUUUUGGACAACCAAAAUCACUGCGCUAGCACUGUAGCAUACUGUAGCGUUUCGUUUGUAUUUGUGAAUUAUUGUCCAAAUAUUGACUAAUUAGGCUCAAAAGAUUCGUCUCGCAAAGUACAACCAAACCGAACAAUUAGUUUUUGAUUUCGUCUACAUUCAGUACUCCAUGUAUGUACCGUAAGUUUGAUGUGAUGGGGAAUCUUCUUUUUGCAUAGUGCUAAAGUUGGGAUUUUGGGGUAACUAAACAAGGCCUGAACUCUGAGACAGUUUAUACUAUUUAUGUUAAGUGAAAACUUUUAAGCUUCGAGCAGAGUUCAGGCAUUAAAAACACAAACUAUGCACUUCGCCAAAAGUACUACUUCUACAGGCUACAGAGACAUCAUAUGCGUGACAAGCUUAUCAAUGGCAAGGCACGACGACCCGCCCUUGCCGGUGCACUCCGCUGACGCCUUCUUCAGCUCGCCGGCCCUCGUUCUCAUCCCGGCACCGUCGCUCUCAGUCAUGAGACGCCGGAUUGCUGCCUCCACGCUUCCCCUCUCGAGCUCGCCGGACACCUCGAAGCCCACCUCCCACACGUGCUCCACGUACCUCGCGUUCCCCAUCUGGUCGGCGAAGUAGGGGCGGCACAGCAUCGGCACCCCCUCGCAGAUGCUCUCCGUCGUCGAGUUCCAGCCGUUGUGCGUCCAGAACCCGCCCACGGCGCGGUGGCGCAGCACCUCCUCCUGCGGCGCCCACCCCACCACCAUGCCGCGCCCGCGCGUCGCGGCCUCAAACCUCUCCGGCAAAUGGUUCUCCGCGCAGCCGCCGACAAAGCCCGGCCGGACCACCCAGAGGAACGGCACGCAACUGCCGGCGAUGCCCCACGCCGUCUCCUCCAGGUCCCGCGGGCUCAUGCAGGCCAGGCUGCCGAAGCUCACGUAGAGCACCGACGCCGGCGGCCACGCGUCUAGCCACUCCAGGCAGCUCCGGUCCUGGCGCAGCAGGCUGCUUUCGCCGGCGGGGGAGAACUUGUGCAGCGGGCCGAUGUCGAACACCGGCACGGCGAGGUCCUGCCGGAGGCCCUCCAGCUCGCGGCGCUCGAGCGCGUCGAACGUGUUGAGUAUGAGGCCCGACGAGGCCUUCACCGCCGCCACGGCGCCCGCUAUCAUCUCGCACAGCACCUCGUGGCCGUCCUUGCCGAUGCCCAUCAGGUCGCGCACUCGGCAUGGCGGCAGCUCCACCACCGGCGUGUCGAGCUGUGAAUCUGCAGGGACGAAACACGAACACGUUGAUCCAUGGAUCACGUGGGCAUGAACUUGGUAGGCUACAAACAAGUACUUGAAGAGGAGGGCAUGCCUUGCACGGGGAGGUAGCCUUUCUCGCAUAGCAUCGGGUAGGCGGUGAAGCACGCGAAGGAGACCGCGCUGCCGGUGCGCAGCGCCAGCGUGGGUACGCCGAGGCAAUUGGCCGCCUGGAAAAUCGGCAGCAGGUGCGUGUCGGCGACGAGGCACGUGACGGCGUCCCUGGAGUACUCCUCCAGGACGGCGGCGAGGCGGUCCCGGAAGGCGGCCUCGCACGCGCCGCCGAUCGAGACGAUAUGCGCUACGACGUCCUCGAUGGCGACGGGCGCGGGGCCGGACAUGCCGUCGGGGACGGGGACGAAGCGGUAGUGCGGGUGGCUCGCCGGGUCCGGGGCGUUGAAGUGGGUGUGGAAGACGGUUACGGCGAAGCCGCGGGCGUGGAGGACGCCGGCGAGCCGGAACAUGGGGUUGAUGUGGCCCUGGUACGGGAGCGGGAACAGGAGCACGUGCCGGUGGCGCCCGCCGUGGUUGGCGUUGCUCUCUGCGGCCAUGGUUGGCGCCGGUGGUGGUGUCAUCGCUUUGCUGAGCGUGAGCUGUGCCGUGUGAACUGUGAAGGCAAGGAUGGGGGAGAAACGGUAGCCAGUAGGAGGUUAGUACACUGGUACGGGCAGGGCGAGAUCAGCGGGACCCAGCAACAACCUUCGGGGUUGUGACUUGUGAGUGGCUGUUUGUCCUUGACGGCCAGUGAACGCUGCUGCUCUGUUCUGCUCGUACAACCUACGGGGUUGUCAGUGGCUGUUAUGUGUUUGCAACCACUUUUUUUUUAACUUAUUUGCAACCACGUAUAAUGUUGGUUUUAUUCCAUCGUAAACAUGCUUGGCCGUAUUAUAUACUACAAUAUUGGAUAUACAUCGUAACUCAACGUUGGUUCCUUAUUGCUCAGUCAAUCAGGAAAGUGGGUGGAAAAAUCCUUUUGCAUACAAAAUGCCAUAGGAGGAGAUUAAAACUUGUGGUAAUGCACAUAUGGGUAUUUUUGUCUUUUCCUAUCAAAUUGUGUCAUAGAAGGUAUAAAACUUGGAGGCGGUGUCAAAUAAGAAAUAUUAAAAUUAGAUGUUAUAUAGAAAAUUGGUCUAUCUUCUAGUGUCACGCAGGGAAUUUUCUCUAGUUAAACACGUCCCUUCUAAUAAUUCCAAAACGAGAGAGAGUAUUUUUGUUGUGACGUGAAACACGCAGGCUGAUUCUGACGGAUAUCGUUCGGUCGGAAAAAAAAUUAGACGCAGGACUCCUGCAACCGAGUCUUGGUGCAGGACGGCCUCAAAUCACGACGCGUGGGCAGCCUUCCCGAUCGAACGCCCGCACCCCUCGCGCGGAAGACGAGCCAUCGCUGAAGAAGAAAAAAAUAGACGAGCCAGGAAGACGAGCCCCUCGCGCGCGUGCCUCUCAAGCCGGCGGAAGAUGAGCCGGCGCUUAGCAGGGCUUCUCUGCGCCUGCAGGAGCUCCUCUCGCCUCAUGGCUCCAGAACGAAGGGCUACAAAAUCUGUUGCCACAGCUUCUUUAAUUCGUUUCACAAACAAAAUCCGGGAUAUUUCAUAAUCUGAAAAAGUUUAAAUCUAAAGAGUGGUAUGUGGAAGUGAUGUGUACAAAAGAAUGACAGGUCUAUGAAGUGUGAUGUGAUCCUUAUCAAACAAUAUAAAUGAGUUACAUGGUACCAACUCACAUAAUACAAAUCCAAAUAAAAUUAUGUGUAACACAACAAAGGUUACAUGCUUUCUUGAUUUGGCAUUCCACCAAAAUUUAAUUUUUUAACAGCCGGCUGUAAUGUGGCAGCUCGAUCAACUCCAAGUAAGAGAUUUGUAUAUCCUCCUUGCACAUAAGGAGCACCCACAGUUGAAGAAUCUCUGUACAUAUUAAAUUGUGGCAUUAUGGUAUUAGCAUAGCCACCUUGGAUCAAUGGAGCAGCCAUGGACGAAGAUUGUCCAUACACAUCAUUUGCAAAGUUUGGCAUCAUACUGUUAACAUCCUUUUCACCAUCAUUAAGAUCCUGUACCAAAUCAAAUAUGAAAAGUGGAUAUAGUCCAACACAUAUGACUUACGAUAAAUAGUUGCAUACGAGGAAUUCAAAUAUGAAAAGUGGAUAUAGUCCAACACAUAUGACUUACGAUAAAUUGAUCUAGAUUAGCACCUUCAUAUACUUCGGAUCUAUUUUCUACUGCAGUUAUUGAAUGUUGUCCUAUAUUCAAACAUAUCAAGUUAACUAUACUGGCAUAUAAUAGAUAAAAACAUGUAGAAUUGAUAUGAGUAAUACCUUUCUUUUUACCACUUUUCUUUUUUUCCUUUUAUUCUUUUCAAGGGAGAUGGUCCCUCGUUUACUCUUUGGACCUUUUAUCAUCCGAGGAAUUCUAAAUGAUAUUUUACCUCUCAAUGUGUUUGUAACACAGUUUGUUGAAACUAGAGGGACCUCACUGGCUUUUUGUUGCAUCCUGCUUAGAGAAUUAUCUGCUUCCAAGUCCAACUUAUCUAUGGCAUUCUCCAAAUCAACAAGAAGUUCCUUGGACAAUGAACACUUCAAUGCAAUGGAUGUCGCCUUUCGUGCAAUACGUGCAGCAUGCGUUUUCAAGCUUUCCUUUUCAAAUCCUUAUUUCUCAAUAUAGAAUCCUCUCUUUGCAUAUUUUGUCCAUCUAUUCAAUAUGUAUUGAGAUGGCAACAAGAAAAUAUCGUUUGCAUUGAAGACUUUGAGGGCAAGCUUGCACAGUAAACCUAUAUGUGGAUAUCAUAUUUCAUUACUUUCUAUUAUAAACUAUACUAUUGCAAUAAAGAUUUUUGUACGUACCUAUGGAUUCGUAUUUUCUGCAAGCACAUGUAAUGGUACUAUCUGCUUUGUUGAACACAACCGUUGCUCCAUAAUCAGAGUACAUAUGUGUAACCGUAUAUGUCAAAAUCGACCCCUCAGUGUGUAACACCUUAUGAGAGAAUGAAAAUUGUUCAUUAAAUUCUUCUUGAAACUCUUUAUACAUCCGGCUUGUAUAUGACUCGACCACAGUCUUCAAAAGAGGUAUGUGUGCAACUGGACUCUUUCGACGUGAUUGAAAAUCUUCAUCCAACUCGUUAUUACGAAGACUAGCAGAAACCUUGUCACAUUCUUCAAAUAGUUCCGAAAUACCCAAUUUCCUACGAAACCUUUUCUUGAAUACGUUAUUCAUACCUUCGCUUCUUUGAGUGGAGUUCAUAUCAGCUGUAAAUGAGUCAUGGUAUACAGCAGCCCACUUUAUCCUCUAAUCAUAUAGGUUUAACAUCCAUUCAUUAUCCUUAAGGUUGUACUCACACAACAAUUCAUCCCACUUCUUGUUAAAGUAAAACUCAGAUCUAUCUUCAUAGACACAUCCCUUAAAAUCAGGAAGAAAAUUCUCUGGAUGCUGCUCGAUUACGUGACCGAGAUGUUUAGCAGCAUUUAGAUAAAUAUGCCACAAACAAAGACGGUGGCUUGUGUUUGGGAAUACAUAAGCAAUUGCACCUGCCAUGGCCGCAUCUUGAUCACUGAAAAUUGUGCUGGGAUGCUUACCUGACAUUGCUGUUAAAAAGGUUUCAAAUAGCCAAACAAAUGAUUCAAUAGUCUCAUUAAACAAUAAUGCAGCCCCAAAAAUUAUAGUCUGCUUGUGAUGGUUGGUUCCCAGGAGCGGAGCAAAAGGUAUUUCAAACUUAUUAGUCUGAAACAUGGUGUCAAAAGACACGGCAUCACCAAAACAUGUGUAAUCCAUGAUAGAUUGACCGUCCGCCCAAAAGAAGUUAGCCAUCCUGCCAUCUUCUUCAUCUAUUUGAAUGGCAUAAAAAAAUGUUGGAUCCUCUAUCUGCUUAUUUUUUAAGUAUUCCAACAAUGUUUAUGCGUCAUUGGAUUCUAAGUAUUUUCUGCGCUGCCGACCAAUCUCAUUGUUACAAUCAAUCCGUGAGAAUAGCACUUUGUCAGCUCCUCCAUAAAAUUGCACCAUAAACUCAAACACUUGGGCUGGCUUCAUCCCGCCCUCCCUCAUGUGGCCAAUUAGCUUCUUGUCCGCUUCCUGAACACGUCGUUGGGACCUAAGCUUCUGUCUUUUAUUUGGACUUGCAAGGUAAUGGUUGUGAUCAAGCACAACCUUCUGCACUGAUCAAACCCCCUCCUUGUAGUGUCCUUUGAUGACUCAAUUUGUCUAUGACCUUGACUACUGCAAACCAUAUAUUUGAGAUAGAUACUGCCAUCUCUUCGACACUUUGUGUCGCUCUUUCUAAUACUGAACCCAACCUUGCCUGCAUAGGUGUUGUACAUAUCAUAAGCUUCCUCCUCGGAUUGAAAAGACAUUCCAACUUCAGGAACGAUGAAAUAAUUUUCCGCAACCUUGCCUGCAUAGGUGUUGUACAUACCAUAAGCUUCCUCCUCGGAUUGAAAAGACAUUCCAACUUCAGGAACGAUGAAAUAAUUUUCCGCAACUUCAUCAACUACGUGUUGUACAAUAAGUCAAGAAUUAAAGGUGCCUUACAACAAUACAUACUAUUAUACUAUCACUUCAAUUUGUUAUUCACGUGCCUUCAAUUACCUCAUCCGACCCCUGAUCACCGUUACUAUCGCUUGCUCCGUCGCUGCUGCCCAGCAGGGCAUGCUCCAACGACUCCACCUCCAGACCUGAUGGUGCCAUAUGGAUCGCAGGGUCGCCGCCACUUGAUUCUGUACGCGCGACAGCUCAAACACUAGGCGGCGAUAAUACGAAAGACAAGAGCUCCUGCAUGUGGUGACUCCGUGAGUAGAAAAUGAUUCCACGAAGGAUAAGAACAUGAUCUCGAUUCCCGAUCACCUGUCGGGCUGUCACUCCACGGAUCAUGUGCAUGCGCGGAUGCGCAUGUGUCUCGUGCUGACUUUGUUUUGUCGCCCCCUACUGAUAGCGCAUCUUUGCCGUUGUUUAAGGAAAUAUCUUAACAAUUUAAUAAGAUGUUUAAAAAAGAUAAAUUCUUCCAUUUUAAAAUGCCUUAAGUCCGGAAUUUGCACCGCCAGUGACUGAGGUGUCCCCAUAACACACCAACCACAAAUUCUAAAUUGUAGGUUCCGCAAUCAUCCCUUCAAAAUAAUAUGAAAACUUGAAAAGUAGAGCCCACUUAGUCGAGCCACAUACUCCAUCCGUUCUAAAUUGUAAGUCAUUUUGAUCUUUUUAGAUUCGUAGAUAUUAUUAUGCAUCUAGACAGACACUAUAUUUAAAUGCAUAGCAAACUAUGCACCUAUAACUGUCAAAACGACUUGCAAUUUGAAAUGGUGGGAGUAUUUUAGUUUUAGAUUACUGCGUACUGAUGAACUUGUCAUUCAUCCGACGGGGUCGAGUUAUACUCGUUGCGCAACAUAUUUUGAAGAAAUUAAAUCAUUUUUUUUUCAAAAAUUCGAAUAGAGAUGACUUCUAUACUAAAAUUUCAGUUUUCGAAUGGGAUGAUUGUUUUUAAAUUUUGUGACUGAUGGUUUUAAAUUUCUUGCGUUUGGUGACAUUUGAAUGCUGAAAUCCAUGAUUCGGAACAAAUAAAAUCUGACUGACAGACUGACAACGCACCAAGCUAGGGUAGGGUGUUUGGAUACUUAGGUGCUAAACUUUAGCAGUAUCACAUCGAAUGUUCGGUUGCUGAUUAGGAGGACUAAAUAUGAGCUAAUUAUAAAACUAAUUGCAGAAUUCCUAGGCUAAUUCGCGAGACGAAUCUAUUAAACCUAAUUAAUUCAUCAUUAGCAAAAUGGUUACUGUAGCAUCACAUUGUCAAAUCAUGGACUAAUUAGACUUAAUAGAUUCGUCUCGCGAAUUAGACUCCAUCUGUACAAUUCGUUUUGUAAUUAGACUAUAUUUAAUACUUCUAAUUAGUAUCCAAACAUCCGAUGUGACAGGUGCUAAACUUUAGCGGGUGGUAUGCAAACUUAAGUUUGAGGCAAAUUUCACCCUGAACUCUGAGACAGUUUAUACUAUUUAUGUCAAGUGAAAACUUUUAAGCUUCGAGCAGAGUUCAGACAUUAAAAACACAAAUUAUGCACUUCGCCACAAGUACUACUUCUACAGACUACAGAGACAUCAUAUGCGUGACAAGCUUAUCAAUGGCAAGGCACGACGACCCGCCCUUGCCGGUGCACUCCGCUGACGCCUUCUUCAGCUCGCCGGCCCUCUUCCUCAUCCCGGCACCGUCGCUCUCAGUCAUGAGCCGCCGGAUUGCUUCCUCCACGCUUCCCCUCUCGAGCUCGCCGGACACCUCGAAGCCCACCUCCCACACGUGCUCCACGUACCUCGCGUUCCCCAUCUGGUCGCCGAAGUAGGGGCGGCACAGCAUCGGCACCCCCUCGCAGAUGCUCUCCGUCGUCGAGUUCCAACCGUUGUGCGUCCAGAACCCGCCCACGGCGCGGUGGCGCAGCACCUCCUCCUGCGGCGCCCACCCCACCACCAUGCCGCGCCCGCGCGUGGCGGCCUCAAACCUCUCCGGCAAAUGGUUCUCCGCGCAGCCGCCGACAAGGCCCGGCCGGACCACCCAGAGGAACGGCACGCCGCUGCCGGCGAUGCCCCAUGCUGUCUCCUCCAGGUCCCGCGGGCUCAUGCAGGCCAGGCUGCCGAAGCUCACGUAGAGCACCGACGCCGGCGGCCACGCGUCUAGCCACUCCAGGCAGCUCCGGUCCUGGCACAGCAGGCUGCUGUCGCUGGCGGGGUAGAACUUGUGCAGCGGGCCGAUGUCGAACACCGGCACGGCGAGGUCCUGCCGGAGGCCCUCCAGCUCGCGGCGCUCGAGCGCGUCGAACGUAUUGAGUAUGAGGGCCGACGAGGCCUUCACCGCCGCCACGGCGCGCGCCAUCAUCUCGCACUCCACCUCGUGGCCGUCCUUGCCGAUGUGGAUCAGGUCGCGCACUCGGUACGGCGGCAGCUCCACCACCGGCGUGUCGAGCUGUGAAUCUGCAGGGACGAAACACGAGCACGUUGAUCCAUGGAUCACGUGGGCAUGAACUUGGUAGGCUACAAACAAGUACUUGAAGAGGAGGGCGUGCCUUGCACGGGGAGGUAGCCUUUCUCGCAUAGCAUCGGGUAGGCGGUGAAGCACGCGAAGGAGACCGCGCUGCCGGUGCGCAGCGCCAGCGUGGGUACGCCGAGGCAAUUGGCCGCCUGGAAAAUCGGCAGCAGGUGCGCGUCGGCGACGAGGCACGCGACGGCGUCCCUGGAGUACUCCUCCAGGACGGCGGCGAGGCGGUCCCGGAAGGCGGCCUCGCACGCGCCGCCGAUCGAGACGAUAUGCACUACGACGUCCUCGGUGGCGACGGGCGCGGGGCCGGACAUGCCGUCGGGGACGGGGACGAAGCGGUAGUGCGGGUGGCGCGCCGGGUCCGGGGCGUUGAAGUGGGUGUGGAAGACGGUUACGGCGAAGCCGCGCGCGUGGAGGACGCCGGCGAGCCGGAACAUGGGGUUGAUGUGGCCCUGGUACGGGAGCGGGAACAGGAGCACGUGCCGGUGGCGCCCGCCGUGGUUGGCGUUGAUCUCUGCGGCCAUGGUUGGCGCCGAUGGUGGUGUCAUCGCUUUGCUGAGUGUGAGGCAAGGAUGGGCGAGAUCAGCGGGACCCAGCAACAACCUUCGGGGUUGUGACUUGUGAGUGGCUGUUUGUCCUUGACGGCCAGUGAACGCUGCUGCUCUGUUCUGCUCGUACAACCUACGGGGUUGUCGGUGGCUGUUACGUGUUUGCAACCACAUUUUUUGUUUGCAACCACGUAUAAUGUUGGUUUUAAUCCAUCGUAAACAUGCUUGGCUGUAUUAUAUACUACAAUAUCGGAUUUACAUCGUAACUCAACAUUAGUUUCCUUAUUGCUCAGUCAACCAGGAAAGUGGGUGGAAAAAUCCUUUUGCAUACAAAAUGCCAUAGGAGGGGAUUAAAACUUGUGGUAAUGCACAUAUGGGUAUUUUUGUCUUUUCCUAUCAAAUUGUGUCAUAGAAGGUAUAAAACUUGGAGACGGUGACAAAUAAGGAAUAUUGAAAUUAGAUGUUAUAUAAAAAAUUGGUCUAUCUUCUAAUGUCACGCAGAGAAUUUUCUCUAGUUAAACACGUCCCUUCUAAUAAUUCCAAAACGAUAGAGAGUAUUUUUUUUGGGACGUGAAACACGCAGGCUGAUUCUGACGGAUAUCGUUCGGUCGUGGGCUGAUCGAGUUGCCUCUUGUGUUUUUCUUUCUUUCUUUUUAUGCGAGCGAGUGCGCGUGUGCGCGUUUUGAAGAACUUUUUGCGCGUGUUGGGUUACCAAACGAGCUGCCUGCCGGUGCCGUCACCCAUCGGGGCAUGCCGACCAUGACGCGAUCGGCAGGCGUAUCACUAUUCUGUUUCGCGGAACGGCAGAUGAUUCCAUGAAGGAUAAGAACAUGAUCUCGAUUCCCGAUCAUCUGUCGGGCUGUCUCUCCACGGAUCAUGUGCAUGCGCGGAUGCGCCUGUGUCUCGUGCUGACUUUGUUUUGUCGCCCCCUACUGAUAGCGCAUCUUUGCCAUUGUUUAAGGAAAUAUCUUAACAAUUUAAUAAGAUGUUUAAAAUAGAUAAUUUCUUCCAUUUUAAAAUGCCUUAAGUCCGGAAUUUGCACCGCCAGUGACUGAGGUGUCCCCAUGACACACCAACCACAAAUUCUAAAUUGUAGGUUACUGUAGCGGAGCUGUCCAACUUAAACUGGUUUAAAUACGUCUAAUUACUGUCGGAACAGCAAUUAUCCAUAACGCACUUAAAACAGCAUAAGUCCGGUAGUCCGUCGAGUGUCCCUGGGACUUCUCGAAGGAUCCACGACGUGUCUCAUAGCCAUACACCAGGAUCGCUUCCACGAUGGGAAAGCAUCAACAAACAUUACAUUUUUACAUACAUACCGGGGUACGAAUUAUUACAGACCAUAGUUUGAAACAAACUUAAUAGUGCAGGUUAGAGCGGUUCUAAGAGUUUAAAACAUAAACCAGUCCAGGUGAAAGAUAAACAUCUAAGUUUUAUUUCUAGGGUAUUACGAGUCUUGUAAAAAUACCCUAGUUCUUCGGGGCUUCCUCCUCGGUGGACUCCUACUGAGGCUCUCAAAUAGCAACGAGGGAUAACCCUGAGUACGGAGUAUUCAACAAGACCAACCCGACUAACUAAUAUAAUAGCUUUUGUGGAACUGCAUGCUAGCUGUUUAGUGUACUGGCUGACUCACAUUUUUGCCAAAAGAGCUUACUAAAAGUGAAACCUUAACUUUGUCUUUUAAUUCAAUUUGAGUUGUUACUUAACCAGUCUAGAUGGCGAAAAAGAAAUAUUUUUGCAACCAGUAGGAAAUUAAGUCAUACAACAUAUUAAUUUCAGAAAGACAUUGCAUACAUGAGAUUACACUACGAUGCUUAACAGUAAUCAAGCGCAUUCAUAACUAAGAAUUGCAGCGAUCCGGAUCAAUUACAUUCUGCAGGAGAGCACCCUGACCACCAGUUACGUACAACUGUCCAGGUUGUACGUAACGACCCGUCGAUUAGCGUACCCAAAGAUUGGGAAUAAGACUACCCGAACUCAGGGACGCACCCCCACAUGGGACCCCACGUCUGGCCCGAUCUCCAUGUGAGUUUUAGGCUACGCCCCUGCCAUUCUCCAGCAUGUCAAGCACGGGUACGAAAUAUUCCCGAUCAGAAAGUCUACUAACCUCCCGGGCUUUACUGGUCCCAUACCCAGUAAGCAACCAGGUGACAUUCACUUGAUCAAAGAUUAAGACAAUGAUCGGGCCUUAACCAAAUUAAUCUAGCAGACAGAACUAACAUCUCUAGCUUCUGCCGACUUUUCAAAUUUCCAAGCUAACUUCCCUCAACUAGUAUGUAUGACCCAACAAUUUACCUUAAGGCUAAGUAACCAAGUUACUUAAAGCAUCUAAGCAUUCCUAAGCAUGGGUUAAUUACUAAUUAUUGAACAAGUGGCAAAGAUGUCCUUAUAACAAGGUAGGAUCAUGCACAAGAAUAGGUUUCAAUCAACUCCUAGACUUAAUGCAUUCAUCUGAAGAAUAACCAGUAAUUGGACACAUGAAAUAAUAACUUUCAAAUAGAUAGGUAUAGACGCAUCGGGGCUUACCUUGAUCUGUAAAAAUGUUAGCGUUGUCCGACGGACUGGCUUCACAGGGGAUCAAUUCAACGAUCUCCUCAAAUUCUGAAGGUCCUUCAGAUAAUUCCAAGAAUUCCCCUUCUGGUGCUUCGGUAUCUACGAUAUAGUACAUGCAGGGGUUAAUGAUGCAAUUUUUUGAAUACAAGACUAUACAACUUUCCUUCAUGAUAAAGUUACAAGCCAACAAGUGACUACACAACUUCUCAUGAUAAAGUUGCAAGCCAACACACAAAAACCCGAAAAGAUUAACCCACCAUUUUUAUUUCCUUUACUAAUCCUACCUUAAGCCUUUUCUUUUAUUUUUAGAAAACAUUAUAAAUAUUUUCUAACCUCAAAACCUAACUCCUAUGGGUUAAUGAUAAUUUGUGAAUAUGAAACCAUUAUUCACUAUUUUAUGCAUUUAAUAAAGGUUAAGUAUUUAUUUAAAUACUUUAAUGAAAAGGCAUUAAAUAAAUACCUAAAUUUUAUUAUUUUUCCUAAGGUAUAAUAAUUUUAAUGCAUAAAUAAAAAUAAAACAAUCCUAACAAAAUUGGUUUCACUAAUUUUGGACACUCCUAGAAAUUUCUAUGAUUUAAAUGGUGCAACUGAAUUUAAUCUAUUUAUCUAAUAAAAUAAAAACCUAGAUUUAUCCCUAAACCCCCGGCCCAAACUUUUCUCACCCGCCUCCUCUCUACCCUCUCUCACUCGCGUUGGGCCCGUGGUACUGGUCCACCUUCUCCCCCUCUCUCUCUUACCCACCGGCCCACUCCUCUCACUGCCGGGCUACUGGGCUGAUUCUACUUCCUCUCCCUCCUUCCUGUUCUUCUUGCCGGCCCACCGGCCCACCUUACUCCUUUUCCUCCACCCUGGCGCCCUGGCCUGCUGGACCGGCCCACGUUCCUCUCCUUCACCCGCCGACCCUCCUAACCUUUUCGUCUUCUCCUUCUAACGCGCGGGCCCCCGGCGCCAGCUCCUUCUCCUUCCUCGCGCCAAAACAGAGCGCGGCAGGGGACGGCACGGCCCGACGUCCGGCGCCCCACCGGCGAUGGGGCCGGGCUGGGGAGGCAUCCCCAAGCCACAGCGCACCCGUAGGCGGCGGCGGCUCCCCGGGAGACGGUCGGAGCUAGCCUCUCCACGGCGGCGGGUAGCUUGACUGACGGCCGACCGUGGCCAAGCACGGCAACGGCACCGCUCGGUCCUUUUAACUACCUCUAAAGCUCCCUAGCGACCUACGAACCUACGUAGAACUGAACACACGAAGAGAGAUAGGCGGCAAGGAGAAGCUCACCGUGAGCAGGGAGUCAGGCGGCGGCAGACGAAAACGGCGGCGGCUAAGAGCUCGCCGGCGGGGAAGUUGGACAACGAGUAGGCAUGGUGGUCAGGAAGGUGUUGGUGGGGAUGUGGGUGAAAGGAAUCGAGGUGGGAGGUAGUGAAACGGCGGGAAUCGGCCGACGGCAGGGGCUUUGCUUACGACGGUAAAAACGGUGGCGCAGUAAAACAGAUGAGAGCGGCGGCGGGAGGAGUAAUUAUACAAAAAUUUCACCGCACGCAUGGGCGACACCGUGGCCUAGCUGUAGACUUGCGUGGCGAGGAGGUGGCCCUAGGCGCCGAGCUGGAUGACGGGCAAUGUUGCCAGCGGCGACACGUCUCUGUCCUGCUGUUCUGCUCGCUUCCUUCCCCUUUCUUUCAGUCCGAAAAUUCAGACCUUCCAACCGGUCGAUUUUGAAUCCUACGGUUCAAGAGCCCCUUAAGUAAAGUUGGAGAUAAACUCGAGCACUUUAAUUUAUAUAUUGGCUCUUACUCGAGAUAAACAUCCCAAAGGUCGGAAUUUUGAGUUUUUCUCUCGGGCAGACUGAAAUGUUCUGAAUCCCUCGAUUCAGUUCAACAGUUACUGUUCCUGGUCAUUUACCCUUCUUUGGUCUUGAUUUGAGUAGCUAAUUCUUGAUCCAUUUCGUUCAACCAUUAGCCAUUCAUGCUCUACAACUAACGGGGGUUCCAUUUUGCCCAUAAACACAUAUACCUCUUGCACUACAUUUCUUUGAAUUUUGCUCCAAACAUGGUCAAUUGCUGCUGUUUUCUGACUUAGAAAAAUCCAAUUCAGUAGCUAGGCCGAACUGCCUAAGUGCUGACUUUGAGUCUCGAUUUAAAUCUGAUCCCUUCACUGUUCCUGAUCAACAACACCCUACUAAUCUUGUCCAAGGAUCAUACUCCACUGCUGUUUAGAUACUUUUGUCCACUAACUUGGAAAAUUAGGCAGAAAUCAAUUUCCAAGUUGGAUACUUGUAAUGUUUUUCUGAAUUUCCUGUUUUCGGACAGGGAAUAGUACUCUUUUGAUUUUAGUUUUCAAUUGCAUUUCUUGAGGAGUUUAGGACUUGAUUUAGUGUCCAAUUUCAUUCCCUUGAGUUCUAAACUUCCUCAAGCCUCAACUUCAUAUUUUUGCUAAAUUUUUCCGAAUUUAAAACUCCAAGUUGCAAUUUUGUCUAAAUUCGGCUCAAAUUUGACUUUGAGUCAAUUUCUUUCCUUUUACUCCAAACAUCAUUACCAACUUCUCAUUGGUAUCUUUAGGCUGUCAAUAACACGAGAUGUUACAGUUACGCAAUCAUCCCUCCAAAAUAAUAUGCAAACUUGAAAAGUAGAGCCCACUUAGUCGAGCCACAUACUCCAUCCGUUCUAAAUUGUAAGUCGUUUUGAUCUUUUUAGAUUCGUAGAUAUUAUUAUGCAUCUAUACAUACACUAUAUUUAAAUGCAUAGCAAACUAUGUAUCUAUAAAAGUCAAAACGACUUGCAAUUUGGAAUGGUGGGAGUAUUUUAGUUUUAGAUGACUGUGUGCUGAUGAACUUGUCAUUCAUCCGACGGUCGAGUUAUACUCGUUGCGCAACAUAAUUUGAAGAAAUUAAAUCAUAUUUUUUUUUCAAAAAUUCGAAUAGAGGUGACUUCUAUACUAAAAUUUCAGUUUUCGAAUGGGAUGAUUGUUUUUAAAUUUUGUGACUGAUGGUCUUAAAUUUCUUGCGUUUCGUGACAUUUGAAUGCCGAAAUCCAUGAUUCGGAACAAAUAAAAUCUGACUGACACACUGACAACGUACCAAGCUUGGGUGUUUGGAUACUUAUGUGCUAAACUUUAGCAGUGUCACAUCGGAUGUUCGGUUGCUGAUUAGGAGGACUAAAUAUGAGCUAAUUAUAAAACUAAUUGCAGAAUCCCUAGGCUAAUUCGCGAGACGAAUCUAUUAAACCUAAUUAAUUCAUCAUUAGCAAAUGGUUACUGUAGCACCAUAUUGUCAAAUCAUGGACUAAUUAGACUUAAUAGAUUCGUCUCGCGAAUUAGACUCCAUCUGUGCAAUUAGUUUUGUAAUUAACCUAUGUCUAAUACUUCUAAUUAGUAUCCAAACGUCCAAUAUGACAGGUGUUAAACUUUAGCGGGUCGUAUCCAAACACCCACUAAAUUUCAAGCAAAUUUCACACUGAACUCUGAGACAGUGUAUACUAUUUAUGUCAAGUGAAAACUUUUAAGCUUCGAGCAGAGUUCAGACUACAGAGACAUCAUAUGCGUGACAAGCUUAUCAAUGGCAAGGCACGACGACCCGCCCUUGCCGGUGCACUCCGCUGACGCCUUCUUCAGCUCGCCGGCCCUCGUCCUCAUCCCGGCACCGUCGCUCUCAGUCAUGAGCCGCCGGAUUGCUGCCUCCACGCUUCCCCUCUCGAGCUCGCCGGACACCUCGAAGCCCACCUCCCACACGUGCUCCACGUACCUCGCGUUCCCCAUCUGGUCGCCGAAGUAGGGGCGGCACAGCAUCGGCACCCCCUCGCAGAUGCUCUCCGUCGUCGAGUUCCAGCCGUUGUGCGUCCAGAACCCGCCCACGGCGCGGUGGCGCAGCACCUCCUCCUGCGGCGCCCACCCCACCACCAUGCCGCGCCCGCGCGUCGCGGCCUCAAACCUCUCCGGCAAAUGGUUCUCCGCGCAGCCGCCGACAAGGCCCGGCCGGACCACCCAGAGGAACGGCACGCCGCUGCCGGCGAUGCCCCAUGCUGUCUCCUCCAGGUCCCGCAAACUCAUAGAGGCCAGGCUGCCAAAGCUCACGUACAGCACCGACUCCGGCGGCCACGCGUCUAGCCACUCCAGGCAGCUCCGGUCCUGGCACAGCAGGCUGCUGUCGCCGGCGGGGGAGAACUUGUGGAGCGGUCCGAUGUCGAACACCGGCACGGCGAGGUCCUGCUGGAGGCCCUCCAGCUCGCGGCGCUCGAGCGCGUCGAACGUGUUGAGUAUGAGGCCCGACGAGGCCUUCACCGCCGCCACGGCGCGCGCCAUCAUCUCGCACAGCACCUCGUGGCCGUCCUUGCCGAUGUGCAUC